rnacentral:rRNA from 1 species
CUACGGGACGCUGCAGUGGGGAAUAUUGCACAAUGGAGGAAACUCUGAUGCAGCGACGCCGCGUGGAGGAUGACACUUUUCGGAGCGUAAACUCCUUUUAUAUAGGAAGAAGAUGACGGUACUAUAUGAAUAAGCGCCGGCUAACUCCGUGCCAGCAGCCGCGGUAAUACGGAGGGCGCAAGCGUUACUCGGAAUCACUGGGCGUAAAGAGCAUGUAGGCGGAUUAAAAAGUCAGAAGUGAAAUCCUAUAGCUUAACUAUAGAACUGCUUCUGAAACUCUUAAUCUAGAAUAUGGGAGAGGUAGAUGGAAUUUCUGGUGUAGGGGUAAAAUCCGUAGAGAUCAGAAGGAAUACCGAUUGCGAAGGCGAUCUACUAGAACAUUAUUGACGCUGAGACGCGAAAGCGUGGGGAGCAAACAGGAUUAGAUACCCGAGUAGUC